rnacentral:lncRNA from 1 species
AGUGGUCUAAAAAGCUUGAUUUUAAAAGAGAAUUGUUCUGCAGUUUUUAUUCAUGGUUUUGCCCAUCAACUCCAAUUAGCUCUUGUGGCAUUAGCAAAAAAGCAUUCUAAAAUUGCUUUAUUCCUUAAUUUGGUUGCUAAUUUGUAUAAUGUUGUUGGAGCAUCAUGUAAGCGCCAAGAUAUUCUCCAUGAAAGUCAAGCUACAAAGGUGAAACAAAUAUUCGAACUAGGGAC